rnacentral:rRNA from 1 species
GAAUCGGGGGGGGCGACUGUUUACUAAAAACAUAGGUCUCUGCUAAGUCGUAAGACGAUGUAUAGGGACUGACGCCUGCCCGGUGCUGGAAGGUUAAGAGGUGGGGUUAGACUUCGGUCGAAGCUCUGAAUUGAAGCCCCAGUAAACGGCGGCCGUAACUAUAACGGUCCUAAGGUAGCGAAAUUCCUUGUCGGGUAAGUUCCGACCUGCACGAAUGGCGUAACGAUCUCCCCACUGUCUCAACCAGAGACUCAGUGAAAUUGAAUUCCCAGUGAAAAUGCUGGGUACCCGCGGAAGGACGGAAAGACCCUGUGCACCUUUACUGCAGCUUGACAUUGGUAUUUGAUUAAUAAUGUGUAGGAUAGCUGGGAGACUUUGAAGCAUGCUCGCUAGAGUGUGUGGAGUCAACCUUGAAAUACCAGCCUUUAUUACUUAGGUAUCUAAUCCAACGCCGUCAUCCGGCUUGGAAACAGUGUCUGGUGGGUAGUUUGACUGGGGCGGUCGCCUCCCAAAGAGUAACGGAGGCUUGCAAAGGUUACCUCAGGCUGAUUGGAAACCAGCCGUUGAGUGCAAAGGCAUAAGGGAGCUUGACUGUAAGACAGACAUCUCGAGCAGGAACGAAAGUUGGUCUUAGUGAUCCGGUGGUUCCGCAUGGAAGGGCCAUCGCUCAUAGGAUAAAAGGUACGCCGGGGAUAACAGGCUGAUCGCGUCCAAGAGUUCACAUCGACGACGCGGUUUGGCACCUCGAUGUCGGCUCAUCACAUCCUGGGGCUGAAGCAGGUCCCAAGGGUUCGGCUGUUCGCCGUUUAAAGUGGUACGCGAGCUGGGUUUAAAACGUCGUGAGACAGUUUGGUCCCUAUCCUCCGUGGGCGUUGGAGAAUUGAAGAAGGUCUGCCCCUAGUACGAGAGGACCGGGGUGGACGAACCUAUGGUGUUCCUGUUGUCACGCCAGUGGCAUUGCAGGGUAGCUAAGUUCGGUACGGAUAACCGCUGAAAGCAUCUAAGCGGGAAGCCAGCUUCAAGAUAAGUUCUCCCUAGACGUUUAACGUCUCUAAAGAUCCCUUGAAGACCACAAGGUUGAUAGGCUGGAGGUGUAAGCAAUGCGAGUUGUUCAGCUGACCAGUACUAAUAGAUCGUGCGGCUUAUUUUA